AGAGUUUGAUCCUGGCUCAGGACGAACGCUGGCGGCGCGCCUAACACAUGCAAGUCGAACGAGAGAUGAGGAGCUUGCUCUUCAAAUCGAGUGGCGAACGGGUGAGUAACGCGUGAGGAACCUGCCUCAAAGAGGGGGACAACAGUUGGAAACGACUGCUAAUACCGCAUAAGCCCACGGCUCGGCAUCGAGCAGAGGGAAAAGGAGCAAUCCGCUUUGAGAUGGCCUCGCGUCCGAUUAGCUAGUUGGUGAGGUAACGGCCCACCAAGGCGACGAUCGGUAGCCGGACUGAGAGGUUGAACGGCCACAUUGGGACUGAGACACGGCCCAGACUCCUACGGGAGGCAGCAGUGGGGAAUAUUGCACAAUGGGGGAAACCCUGAUGCAGCGACGCCGCGUGGAGGAAGAAGGUCUUCGGAUUGUAAACUCCUGUUGUUGAGGAAGAUAAUGACGGUACUCAACAAGGAAGUGACGGCUAACUACGUGCCAGCAGCCGCGGUAAAACGUAGGUCACAAGCGUUGUCCGGAAUUACUGGGUGUAAAGGGAGCGCAGGCGGGAGAACAAGUUGGAAGUGAAAUCCAUGGGCUCAACCCAUGAACUGCUUUCAAAACUGUUUUUCUUGAGUAGUGCAGAGGUAGGCGGAAUUCCCGGUGUAGCGGUGGAAUGCGUAGAUAUCGGGAGGAACACCAGUGGCGAAGGCGGCCUACUGGGCACCAACUGACGCUGAGGCUCGAAAGUGUGGGUAGCAAACAGGAUUAGAUACCCUGGUAGUCCACACCGUAAACGAUGAUUACUAGGUGUUGGAGGAUUGACCCCUUCAGUGCCGCAGUUAACACAAUAAGUAAUCCACCUGGGGAGUACGACCGCAAGGUUGAAACUCAAAGGAAUUGACGGGGGCCCGCACAAGCAGU
rnacentral:rRNA from 1 species